rnacentral:rRNA from 2 species
ACAGCCAUACCAUGCUGAAUAUACCGGUUCUCGUUAGAUCACCGAAGUCAAGCAUCAUUGGGCGCGGUCAGUACUUGGGUGGGUGACCACCUGGGAACACCGCGUGCCGUU